UGACCCCGUCUCCCAAGCCCGAGAAGCCACCCAAGGGCCACAAGCCGCCCCACCACCACCACCACGCCAAGCCUCCGGCUGGCUCCCACAAGCCGGCGCCUCCCACGGCCACUCCUCCCACGCCGGCGUACAAGCCACCCACGGCCACGCCUCCGGCUCCGACGCCACCGAAGUACACUCCGUCCCCGAAGCCACCGACGCCUAAGCCCACACCACCCACGUAUACCCCGACCCCGAAGCCGCCCACUCCCACACCAAAGCCCACGCCGCCAACGUACAAGCCGGCACCCAAGCCCACUCCUCCCACGUAUAAGCCCACACCCAAGCCCUCGCCGCCGACGUACCCGCCGAAGCCAACACCACCCACCUACAAGCCGGCGCCGAAGCCGACUCCCCCGACCUACAAGCCGGCGCCGAAGCCGACACCGCCCACCUACAAGCCCGCGCCGAAGCCGACGCCCCCGACCUACAAGCCGGACCCCAAGCCGACUCCCCCGACGUACAAGCCCGCGCCGAAGCCGGCCCCCAAGCCUACGCCCCCGAACUACAAGCCGGCGCCGAAGCCGACGCCGCCGUCGUACAAGCCGGCCCCGAAGCCCACUCCCCCGGCACCGAAGCCCACGCCGCCGACACCACCAGCCUACAAGCCGGCGCCGAAGCCGAGCCCUCCGACGCCCGCCCCGCCGGCGUACAAGCCUCCGACUCCGACUCCUCCGGCGUACAAGACCCCCACUCCGAGCCCGCCGCCGCCGCCCUACCACCACUAAGAUCCAUCACUCUCUUUAGUUGGGAGCACAGGUGAGCAAUGCGGCAAUCUCAGUCUAUGCAUGCAUGAUGCAUGCAUGAAACGCAGACUGUAUCUACAUUUCCCUUUCAAAGUGCAAAGGACGAAACUUAAGACGUGAUUACUUGUGUUUUGCAGAAUGUGAUCGAAAAGACGUGAGCCGACUGUCUGAAGAUGACGAGCCUUUGAUUCUCCUCCCGUGCGUCGCC
rnacentral:lncRNA from 1 species